rnacentral:lncRNA from 1 species
UUUUUUUUUUGCCUUUUUUAAACAUUUUUUGCAUUAAAGUUGGUCGACAGUGUUCUGUCAAUUUUCUGCUGUACAGAAAAGUGACCCAGUCACACACACACACACACACACACACACAUUUCUUUUCUUACGCUAUCCUGCAUCAUGCUCCAUCACAAGGGACUCGAUAGAGUUUCCUGUGCUCUACAGCAGGAUCUCUUUGCUUCCCCCCCCAAUACAAAUUUUUAUACAAUAAAAAAAAUUAACUCAUAUGCAUCAAAUGCAGCCAAAAAAUUUUUUUUAAUAAAAUAAAAUAAAAAUGACAGAGGUAGGGACUUUUCCACAGAGGGAGGACACCUGGCAGUGAAGUCCUUCAAUCUGAGGCAAUGAAAUUUUUUUUUGACAGCUUGCUCAUUUAUUCCUGAGGGGCUCGGCCCCUGUACUCCUCAGACCCACCCCACCCCUGGCCCCGUGUCUAAAUGGUUUUCUCUUACUGGGAUCUAUGCAGGUAAAGUAUAUGUUGGUUACUUACUGAUCUCUGCAGAGACCCGGACUGAGAGGACACACAGAGAGACAGAGACAGAGAGAGAGGUUUAUUUGAAGGAAGUGACUGAUUCCACUGCAGAGGGGCCAAACCCCAAAUCUGCAGAGUAGACCAGCUGAGGUUCCAGCUCGAGUCCCAAGACCCCCUGGAGGCAGAACUCCUUCUUCCUUGGGAAACCGCAGGUCCUUUUUGGCUCCUAAGAUCUUCAACUGAUUAGACAAGGCCCACCCACUUUACGGAGCACAAUCUGGUUCACUCAAAGUCUACUGAUGUCAGUGGGGCCUUUUGGGGCAGGGGUUGUUUUUGUGGCCACACCCAUGACAUGCAGAUUCCCCGGCCAGAGAUCAAACCUGUGCCACAGCUGUGACAAUGCCAGAUCCUCAACCUUCUGAGCCACCAGGGAACUCCUAUCACCAUUUCUUUUUCAUUGAAGUAGAGUUGACUCACAAUGCUGUCUUAGUUUCAGGUGUACAGCCACGUGACCCAGUUAUACACAUAACUACACACACACACACACUCAUUAUUUUCCAGAUCCUUUCCCCUUAUAAGUUAUUACAAAAUACUAAGUAUACUUCUGUACGCUAGGUCCUUAUUGGUUCUCUAUUUUAUAUGCAGUGGUAUGUAGACAUUAAUCCC